UACGGGGGGGGGCAAGCGUUGUUCGGAAUUACUGGGCGUAAAGGGCGCGUAGGCGGCCUGCUAAGUCACACGUGAAAUCCCUCGGCUCAACCGGGGAACUGCGUGUGAUACUGGCGGGCUCGAAUUCGGGAGAGGGAUGUGGAAUUCCUGGUGUAGCGGUGAAAUGCGCAGAUAUCAGGAGGAACACCGGUGGCGAAGGCGGGUCUCUGGGCCGAUACUGACGCUGAGGCACGAAAGCGUGGGGAGCAAACAGG
rnacentral:rRNA from 1 species